UGGAAAUGUCCAUUAUGCUCAAGUUGACAGCCAUUAGAGUACAGGUAAUCUAUUCUUUUUUUUCCUCCACCAUUUUCCCCAACCUGUACUUGUUCAAAAAGACCAGCUAUUAAUUGAGGACGGACUUUAGAUUUUCUUUAUUUAACUUAUUGAUUUUGUAUGUUUGUUUGUUUUCUUUUACUUUAAUCUAUAGCUCUUUUUAUGUGUAUAUAUAUCUAUGGCAUAAGUUAUUCUCUCCUCACCUACAUGUGUAUUUACUAAUGUAUUUUUUAAUUCAUUUAUGUUAGAUAUAUUUAUUUAAUUAAGAAAGUCCUCCAAGAUUAGUGCUAUGUCAGAGCUGCUGUAAGUCACUGUUAAUUCCAGAAACAUCACCUUCAUUCAUAAGCAGUGCAAUCACAUGCUGCCCAUUAACCGGUCUGAACCCAGCCUCUUGAAGUCUAUGUUAUGGGGACUCACUGGUGUGACAAGUCUGCAGUCCUUUGUUAAGUCUGCAGCUGCAUGUGAAGCCUGUGAGGCUAAAGUCUGGUGGAAGUUGGUGGAGAUUGGGUUUUUGGACUGGAAAGUUAUCAUGGAGCCAAAUACUUUAUCUUUUGUCAUGACGAUGGUGAGGUGUGGACGAUUUAGCUCCCACAGACUGCUCCAGUCAUUAAAGCUAGGGUGAAUACCAAAACCCUCCAGACUGGAGGACUAGUACCGGGCCUACCGGCAGUCACUGCAGGUUCAUGUUUUAAAAAAAGAUGAUGGACAAAGGAAGAAGGAAAGGAAAGAGCAGAAACACCGACAAACAAGAGAAAUGAACAAAACCAAAUAAAGAAGGAGAGGAGAGGACAAGAAGAAGCAGCAAAGGAGAAUAAGGAGAAGACAGAUAAGAGGAGGAGGGGAGUACAGCAGAGGAGGGAACAGGAGCUGAAUGUAUAUGUUCCUGCUGUAAAUCCCACCAAAUCCUCCAUGCACCUCUGGAGACCUCUCGCACAGCCGUUUCUUUCAUCUUCUCUUUCCAUCUUAUUUCUCCCUUACUCUCAGCUUUCCGUUACCUCUACACAUGCUCCAGAUUUACUGUUUUGUUUUUGUAGACCCAAGCUCAGUGGGAAUCGCAGAAAUGAUG